UCCAGUUCUGUGGUGCACCCUUCCCUGCCUAACCCUUGCCCCCACGAGUGGGUGACAGGUGGGGGCAGACAACCCUGAGCUGAGGAACGGAGCUGCCAGGAACCUUGUUGGGGGAUGGAGAUGUGAGAGUGGCCCACCUAUGCAGAUACUCAUGGCACUGAAUCCCAGGCUUGUAGGAAUAGACUCAGCUUUAACUCCUGGGGCUGCCUGGUUUGUCCACAGAACUCCAAAGGCAAGAUGUAGGCACUGGCCCUAGUAACCCCAUGUCUCCCUCAUCAGGGGAACACCAACAGGUGCUGCAGGCCAUGGAGCACCAGGGCUCAAGCCCCUCCUUCAGUGCCUGCUCCCUGGCCCUGAGCCAGGCCCAGCUCACACCCCUGCUUCGAGCCCUCAAGCUACACACAACGCUCCGGGAGCUGCACCUGGCAGGGAAUCGGCUCGGGGAUGGAUGUGCCAGUGAGCUGCUGGCUGCUCUGAGCACCAUGCCCAGCCUGGUCCUCCUUGAUCUUUCGUCUAAUCACCUGGGCCAGGAAAGUCUACGCCAACUUGCCGGGGGCCCUCAAGGCCAGGCCACCUUGCAGGUAGAGCCUAGGGUGCAGCAGGCCAGCAACUCUAGUAACAGGUUGCAACAGCUGGGAGAACUGGCCAAUGCCCAGCCGGGAACAGGGAUCCUGCAAGGAGACUAGACCUGAGGGGACUGGGCCCAUGGAUGUCAAGGGGCUCAGUGCUCACCAUGUUUUCCACAGAACUUGGAAGAGCUGGACUUAAGCAUGAACCCUCUAGGAGACAGUUGUGGUCAGGCCCUGGCUUCCCUCCUGCGGGCCUGCCCCUUACUCAGCACUCUGCGCCUGAAGGCUUGUGGCUUUGGUCCCAGCCUCUUCCUGAGCCACCAGGCAGCCCUGGGCAGUGCCUUCCAAGGUGAGC
rnacentral:lncRNA from 1 species